rnacentral:tRNA from 1 species
AGAGAAAGUAUGACGACUGAAUUUAGAACUGUUGAGGUAUGCGUUUUGCUAAGUGCUGUCAUUUUAAUUAUCAUUGAGUCUCGUAGCUCAACUGGUUAGAGCGCUACACUGAUAAUGUAGAGGUCGGCAGUUCGAGUCUGCCCGAGACUACAAUACGAUCUUGGGAAUUUAGAGUUGGGAAAUUCAUCCAUACUGAAUUCUUUUUUCAGAAUGGGGAAUUAGCUCAGCUGGCUAGAGCACUUGAUUUGCAUUCAAGAGGUCGUGGGUUUGACUCCCACAUUCUCCACUAAAACGUUCAUUGACAUAUUGAAAAUUUUUAUAUUACAAACACCUGUUAUCCAAUACGUGUUUGUAAUUAUAGAUACACUACAAAGUAUAAAUUAUAUAUAUUUUUAUAUUUUAAUUUGUACGAGCAAUAUUAUAAUAAAUACAAUUUCAAAGAAAAGUAAAGUUAC